AAGCAUCCUCUUAAACCCCCUGGUUUCCAUUUUUGGUCUCUGGGACUAGGAAAGGAUGCUAGAUUAAUUUUAGAAUUAUCCAAAACUGGGAGUUUAUUCAAUAACUCCUGGUUAUUUCACCUCUAAGACAAAU
ensembl:snoRNA small nucleolar RNA SNORA14